GGCGUGGUGUAAUGGAUAACACAUCAGUCCGGUCUACUGAAGAUGCUGGUUCGCUCCCAGCCGUCA
rnacentral:tRNA from 1 species